rnacentral:rRNA from 1 species
GUUUGAUCCUGGCUCAGAGCGAACGCUGGCGGCAGGCCUAACACAUGCAAGUCGAACGGAUCCUUCGGGAUUAGUGGCGGACGGGUGAGUAACACGUGGGAACGUGCCCUUUGGUUCGGAACAACUCAGGGAAACUUGAGCUAAUACCGGAUAAGCCUUUCGAGGGAAAGAUUUAUCGCCAUUGGAGCGGCCCGCGUAGGAUUAGCUAGUUGGUGGGGUAAAGGCCCACCAAGGCUACGAUCCUUAGCUGGUCUGAGAGGAUGAUCAGCCACAUUGGGACUGAGACACGGCCCAAACUCCUACGGGAGGCAGCAGUGGGGAAUCUUGCGCAAUGGGCGAAAGCCUGACGCAGCCAUGCCGCGUGAAUGAUGAAGGUCUUAGGAUUGUAAAAUUCUUUCACCGGGGACGAUAAUGACGGUACCCGGAGAAGAAGCCCCGGCUAACUUCGUGCCAGCAGCCGCGGUAAUACGAAGGGGGCUAGCGUUGCUCGGAAUUACUGGGCGUAAAGGGAGCGUAGGCGGAUAGUUUAGUCAGAGGUGAAAGCCCAGGGCUCAACCUUGGAAUUGCCUUUGAUACUGGCUAUCUUGAGUACGGAAGAGGUAUGUGGAACUCCGAGUGUAGAGGUGAAAUUCGUAGAUAUUCGGAAGAACACCAGUGGCGAAGGCGACAUACUGGUCCGUUACUGACGCUGAGGCUCGAAAGCGUGGGGAGCAAACAGGAUUAGAUACCCUGGUAGUCCACGCUGUAAACGAUGAGUGCUAGUUGUCGGCAGGCAUGCCUGUCGGUGACGCAGCUAACG